rnacentral:rRNA from 1 species
GCAGCAGCCGCGGUAAUACGGAGGUUGCAAGCGUUGUUCGGAAUAACUGGGCGUAAAGGGAGCGCAGGCGGUUCGGUAAGUCUAAAGUGGAAGCCCGGGGCUUAACCUCGGAAGUGCUUUAGAUACUGCCGCACUCGAGUUCGUGAGAGGAGAGCGGAAUUCCAGGUGUAGCGGUGAAAUGCGUAGAUAUCUGGAGGAACACCGGUGGCGAAAGCGGCUCUCUGGCACGAUACUGACGCUGAGGCUCGAAAGCAUGGGUAGCGAACAGGAUUAGAUACCCUGGUAGUCCAUGCUGUAAACGUUGUGCACUAGGUGUGGGAGGUAUCGACCCCUUCCGUGCCGCAGCUAACGCAUUAAGUGCACCGCCUGGGGAGUACGGUCGCAAGACUGAAACUCAAAGGAAUUGACGGGGGCCCGCACAAGC